rnacentral:rRNA from 1 species
GGACAACCUGCCCAAGGUCCGGGAUAACCCCGGGAAACUGGGGAUAAUACCGGAUAAAUCACGAGUACUGGAAGGUUUUGUGGUUGAAACUUCCGGGGUCUUUGGAUGGGUCUGCGGCGGAUUAGGUUGUUGCCGGUGUAACGUACCGUCAAGCCUGUAAUCCGUACGGGUUGUGGGAGCAAGAGCCCGGAGAUGGAUUCUGAGACACGAAUCCAGGCCCUACGGGGCGCAGCAGGCGCGAAAACUCUACAAUGCAGGCAACUGCGAUAGGGGAACAUCGAGUGGUACUCAUUUUGGGUGUCUGUCCCACCGUCUAAAAAACGGUGGUUAGCAAGGGCCGGGCAAGACCGGUGCCAGCCGCCGCGGUAAUACCGGCGGCUCGAGUGGUGGCCGAUAUUAUUGAGUCUAAAGGGUCCGUAGCCGGCUUUGCAAGUCUUUUGGGAAAUCCAGCGGCUUAACCGUUGGUCGUCCGGGAGAUACUACAUUGCUUGGGACUGGGAGAGGUAAGAGGUACUCAGGGGGUAGGAGUGAAAUCCUGUAAUCCUUUGGGGACCACCGGUGGCGAAGGCGUCUUACCAGAACAGGUCCGACGGUGAGGGACGAAAGCUAGGGGCACGAACCGGAUUAGAUACCCGGGUAGUCCUAGCCGUAAACGAUGCUCACUAGGUGUCACAACAAUCGUGAAUUGUUGUGGUGCCGUAGGGAAGCCGUGAAGCGAGCCACUUGGGAAGUACGACCGCAAGGUUGAAACU